rnacentral:rRNA from 1 species
UACGUAGGGCGCAAGCGUUGUCCGGAAUUAUUGGGCGUAAAGAGCUCGUAGGCGGCCUGUUGCGUCCGCUGUGAAAGCCCGGGGCUUAACCCCGGGUCUGCAGUGGAUACGGGCAGACUAGAGGUAUGCAGGGGAGAACGGAAUUCCUGGUGUAGCGGUGGAAUGCGCAGAUAUCAGGAGGAACACCGGUGGCGAAGGCGGUUCUCUGGGCAUUACCUGACGCUGAGGAGCGAAAGCAUGGGGAGCGAACAGG